GCAUGGUUUAAAUAGGCGGCUUCCCUUCUCCGAUCUCUCUUUUCUCAGUCGAACUCUGGCAUGCUGUGCACGUGUUCCUUUGGUCCAGCCAUGUUUAACCCGGGUGCAAGUGGAUGGAAAGUUCUAGAACAACGAAGUGGCUACAAGAUCACGGGUGUACCCAGUCCCCAAAGAGGCCUGCUUGAAGACAUGGCAGUUGCACAUCUCUGUGUUUCUGUGUGCUGAGAAUUCAUGGCUACCUCAGCUGAGAUUUGAUGCAGUCAUGUGGAUGGCUUAUUUGUGAUAAUGGUCUACUGACGAGAAUCGAAGACACCAGUGGCAUGUCGAGCCCAGUAUGUGCGGAUACAGUCACCUGGAGGGCUUAUUUGUUAUAAUGGUCUACUGAUAGACUUGAAGACCACCAGUGGCAUGUCGCACCCAGUAUGUGCAGAUACAGUCACCUGGAGGGCUUAUUUGUGAUAAUGGUCUACUGACGAGAAUCGAAGACCACCAGUGGCAUGUCGAGCCCAGUAUGUGCAGAUACAGUCACCUGGAGGGCUUAUUUGUGAUAAUGGUCUACUGACGAGAAUCGUACGACAUAGUUGACUCCACCAGGCUGUCUGUAGGAUGCGGCCAUGUCAGUCCCCAGGGGACCUUGAGUCUGGACACCAGUGAAUUGAUGUGGUGGCCACGCCUCCUGUACUGUGACUUCAUCUGAUAUUUGCAAGACUUUGCACAAGUCAAUUUAUAAGACUUGUACUUUCAUAUAUAUUUUUUUUGUGAAUUGCAUGUCAUGCUUUAGAAAAAGCAGUGGAAUAAAACUUGGUUUGUUUGUAAAAUCAAA